rnacentral:rRNA from 1 species
UCCGGCCACGUGUAUGUACUAUUUUUUGUUUAUCCGGGUUUAAUAAAGGGUGGGGCAGGCCUAAAAAGGCAUGUUGCGGUAGACCGGAGAGCUGCUUUUUGUGAACAAGCGCGGACGGGGAGGUAAGUUUGGAACCUGCCUGAUGAGGGGGAUAAUACUUGAAACGGUAGCUAAUACCGCAUGAUGUCGCAAGACCAAAGUGGGGGACCUUCGGGCCUCACGCCAUCGGAUGUGCCCAGAUGGGAUUAGCUAGUAGGUGGGGUAAUGGCUCACCUAGGCGACGAUCCCUAGCUGGUCUGAGAGGAUGACCAGCCACACUGGAACUGAGACACGGUCCAGACUCCUACGGGAGGCAGCAGUGGGGAAUAUUCGCACCACUGCGCGCAAGCCUGAUGCAGCCAUGCCGCGUGUGUGAAGAAGGCCUUAGGGUUGUAAAGCACUUUUAGCGAGGAGGAAGGCGUUGUAGUUAAUAGCUGCAACGAUUGACGUUACUCGCAGAAGAAGCACCGGCUAACUCCGUGCCAGCAGCCGCGGUAAUACGGAGGGUGCAAGAAGAUUAAUCGGAAUUACUGGGCGUAAAGCGCACGCAGGCGGUUUGUUAAGUCAGAUGUGAAAUCCCCGAGCUUAACUUGGGAACUGCAUUUGAAACUGGCAAGCUAGAGUCUUGUAGAGGGGGGUAGAAUUCCAGGUGUAGCGGUGAAAUGCGUAGAGAUCUGGAGGAAUACCGGUGGCGAAGGCGGCCCCCUGGACAAAGACUGACGCUUCAGGUGCGAAAGCGUGGGGAGCAAACAGGAUUAGAUACCCUGGUAGUCCACGCUGUAAACGAUGUCGACUUGGAGGUUGUGCCCUUGAGGCGUGGCUUCGCGGAGCUAACGCGUUAAGUCGAC